CCCAGGUUGGCUCAGAUGGUAAAAGCAUCUGCCUACAAUGCAGGAGACCCAAGUUCAAUCCCUGGAUCAGGUA
rnacentral:tRNA from 1 species